rnacentral:rRNA from 1 species
ACAUGCAAGUCGAACGCAGUAGCAAUACUGAGUGGCGAACGGGUGAGUAUAAUGUGGGUAUCUGCCUUUUGGUUUGGAAUAACACGAGGAAACUUGUGCUAAUACCGGAUAAGCCCUUACGGGGAAAGUUUUAACGCCGAAAGAUGAGCCCGCACUUGAUUAGCUAGUUGGUAAGGUAAUGGCUUACCAAGGCUACGAUCAAUAGCUGAUCUGAGAGGAUGAUCAGCCACAUUGGGACUGAGACACGGCCCAGACUCCUACGGGAGGCAGCAGUGGGGAAUCUUGCACAAUGGGGGAAACCCUGAUGCAGCGAUGCCGCGUGAGUGAAGAAGGCCUUUGGGUUGUAAAGCUCUUUCGUCGGGGAAGAAAAUGACUGUACCCGAAUAAGAAGGUCCGGCUAACUUCGUGCCAGCAGCCGCGGUAAUACGAAGGGACCUAGCGUAGUUCGGAAUUACUGGGCUUAAAGAGCUCGUAGGUGGUUAGAAAAGUUGAUGGUGAAAUCCCAAGGCUUAACCUUGGAACUGCCAUCAAAACUUUUUAACUAGAGUGUGAUAGAGGAAAGUGGAAUUUCUAGUGUAGAGGUGAAAUUCGUAGAUAUUAGAAAGAACACCAAUUGCGAAGGCAACUUUCUGGAUCAUUACUGACACUGAGGAGCGAAAGCAUGGGUAGCGAAGAGGAUUAGAUACCCUCGUAGUCCAUGCUGUAAACGAUGUGUGCUAGACGUUGGAAAUUUAAUUUUCAGUGUCGCAGCAAAAGCGUUAAGCACACCGCCUGGGGAGUACGACC